rnacentral:tRNA from 1 species
GGAAAUGUGCCCGAGCUCCCAAGGACUACUUUGAUAGAGUAACACACAGGGGUUAAAAUCCCCUCAUUUCCU